CCCGCAUCCUGCUCCCAGACUCCAUUUCCCAGCAUUCCCUCGCAGUCAGAGCCCUUAGGCCGGGAGGAGCAAGAGCCUCAAUGGUUUCUGGGAAAUGUAGUCCAGCUGCGAUGCCGCGUUUAAGGUACCUGGACUUACAGUUCCGAGACAGGGACUGCGCAGGCGCGUUCCGGGACCCGGCGGAGGAAGGGAAGGCCUGGCUGUCCAGCGGAAUCCGCCUGGACGCACGGACCUCGCGGACCCGACCGGAGCAGCUCUUCGGGCCCUGGCGUGGACCCUUCUCCCAGAGGCACAUGCCCAGAACCCAGCAAUGGCCAAUGGGACCCUGAUGGCCGAGGGCCAGAGAAGACUCAAGUGCAAAGAGCUGAGGUGCUUACACGACCACCGCACAGGAACGAAGCGUCGGAGUGUGGAAUCGAGACCUGUUCUACUGCACUCCAGAGCACAUGUUCUUUCUACUCUGCCAUAAUGUUUGGGACAAAAUUGAAUCAUGAGGGUUUUUUUUUUUUCCAUUACAAAUGUAACACAUCGCUCCUGCGUACGGCUGGGAUGAGUCACUGGCACCAGACGUGCCCUCCUGCGAAAAACAGCUAUGAAACUGGACAAAAUACAGGAGGGCCACUGUUUUCAGGCGUUGAACAGUGGAAAGAGGACUGCGAUCCUUGAGAAGAGAUGAUGGUGAAGGUGAGCCCAUGUGUUGGCCCAGGUUCCUCACUGGGAGCCCUGUCCCUACCACAGCACAGAGAUACGGGGCUAAAAC
rnacentral:lncRNA from 1 species